CAAUAGCGUAUAUUAAAGUUGUUGCGGUUAAAAAGCUCGUAGUUGGAUUUCUGCUGAGGACGACCGGUCCGCCCUCCGGGUGAGCAUCUGGUUCGGCCUUGGCAUCUUCUUGGUGAACGUAUCUGCACUUGACUGUGUGGUGCGGUACCCAGGACUUUUACUUUGAAAAAAUUAGAGUGUUUCAGGCAGGCAAUGGCUCGAAUACAUUAGCAUGGAAUAAUGGAAUAGGACUUUUGUCCAUUUGGUUGGUUAUUGGACAUGAGUAAUGAUUAACAGGGACAGUUGGGGGCAUUAGUAUUUAAUUGUCAGAGGUGAAAUUCUUGGAUUUAUUAAAGACUAACUUAUGCGAAAGCAUUUGCCAAGGAUGUUUU
rnacentral:rRNA from 1 species